rnacentral:rRNA from 1 species
GGGUAGCGAACAGGAUUAGAUACCCUGGUAGUCCAUGCCGUAAACGGUGGGCGCUAGGUGUAGGGGACUUCCACGUCUUCUGUGCCGCAGCUAACGCAUUAAGCGCCCCGCCUGGGGAGUACGGCCGCAAGGCUAAAACUCAAAGGAAUUGACGGGGGCCCGCACAAGCGGCGGAGCAUGUGGAUUAAUUCGAUGCAACGCGAAGAACCUUACCUGGGCUUGACAUACACCGGAUCGCUGCAGAGAUGUAGCUUCCCUUGUGGCUGGUGUACAGGUGGUGCAUGGUUGUCGUCAGCUCGUGUCGUGAGAUGUUGGGUUAAGUCCCGCAACGAGCGCAACCCUUGUCUUAUGUUGCCAUCACGUGAUGGUGGGCACUCAUGAGAGACUGCCGGGGUUAACUCGGAGGAAGGUGGGGAUGACGUCAAAUCAUCAUGCCCCUUAUGUCCAGGGCUUCACACAUGCUACAAUGGUCGGUACAGCGAGUUGCCACACCGUGAGGUGGAGCUAAUCUCUCAAAGCCGGCCUCAGUUCGGAUUGGGGUCUGCAACUCGACCCCAUGAAGUCGGAGUCGCUAGUAAUCGCAGAUCAGCAACGCUGCGGUGAAUACGUUCCCGGGCCUUGUACACACCGCCCGUCACGUCAUGAAAGUUGGUAACACCCGAAGCCAGUGGCCCAACCCUUGUGGGGGGAGCUGUCGAAGGUGGGAUCGGCGAUUGGGACGAAGUCGUAACAAGGUAGCCGUAAGCUUGGAUCCCGGG